rnacentral:rRNA from 1 species
AUUGAACGCUGGCGGCAUGCCUUACACAUGCAAGUCGAACGGCAGCACGGGUGCUUGCACCUGGUGGCGAGUGGCGAACGGGUGAGUAAUACAUCGGAACAUGUCCUGUAGUGGGGGAUAGCCCGGCGAAAGCCGGAUUAAUACCGCAUACGAUCCACGGAUGAAAGCGGGGGACCUUCGGGCCUCGCGCUAUAGGGUUGGCCGAUGGCUGAUUAGCUAGUUGGUGGGGUAAAGGCCUACCAAGGCGACGAUCAGUAGCUGGUCUGAGAGGACGACCAGCCACACGGGGACUGAGACACGCCCCAGACUCCUACGGGGGGAAGAAGGGGGGAAUUUUGGAAAAGGGGCGAAAGCCGGACCCAGCAAUCCCGCGUGUGGGAAGAAGGCCUUGGGUUUGAAAAGCACUUUUGCCGGGAAAGAAAUCCUUGACUCUAAUACGGUGGGGGGAGGACGGUACCGAAAGAAAAAGCCCCGGCUAACUACGGG